AUUGAACGCUGGCGGCAUGCUUUACACAUGCAAGUCGAACGGUAACAGGCCUUCGGGUGCUGACGAGUGGCGAACGGGUGAGUAAUGCAUCGGAACGUACCCAGAGGUGGGGGAUAACGCAGCGAAAGCUGUGCUAAUACCGCAUGUGAUCUGAGGAUGAAAGCGGGGGACCGAGCAGCAAUGUUUGGCCUCGCGCCUUUGGAGCGGCCGAUGUCGGAUUAGCUAGUUGGUGGGGUAAAGGCCUACCAAGGCGACGAUCCGUAGCUGGUCUGAGAGGACGACCAGCCACACUGGGACUGAGAGACGGCACAGACUACUACGGGAGGCAGCAGUGGGGAAUUUUGGACAAAGGGCGCAAGCCUGAUCCAGCAAUGCCGCGUGCGGGAAGAAGGCCUUCGGGUUGUAAACCGCUUUUGGCAGGAACGAAACGGUGUCCGCUAAUACCGGGCGCUAAUGACGGUACCUGCAGAAUAAGCACCGGCUAACUACGUG
rnacentral:rRNA from 1 species